rnacentral:lncRNA from 1 species
GCUCAACUGAGUGGUUUUCUAGUGAGGAGGUCACAAGUAGACCACAUAAAUGUUCCUCAUUUACAUUUAUGAUUGUUAUUUUACAUAAUAAAUUGGUUAACAUGGCAAAGAACAUAUUCCUAUACUUUCACAUAAUUUCUUAACACUUAGUAAGACAUAAUUAAUAUAAAUAAAUAAAUUAUUUAUAUUUUUCUAUCAGUUCGGAAGACUGGAGGUUAGCCGAUUGUUGUGGUGAACUUUUUGUAGCCGACUCUGAUAUCACUUUUUGACACCUGAGUCCUAAAACCUGAGAGUCAUAAAAACGUAUAAAAAAAAAAGAGAAUGCUUAAAAAGAUACUAAUUAAAGAUUAUUCCAUGAAUUCAGAUGAAGAAAAUUUGCAUAAUAAUAACUUGUUUUAAAAAAUAACUUAUUCAAAAAUACUCAUAAAAGAGAAGUUUAAUUUGACAAGAAAGUUUAAAGAAAACUAUGUAAUUUAUUUCCUCCAUCACGGCUAAGUCCAAGCUUCAAUCUUUCGAUACCUACUUACUUGAAAAGAGGAAAAACAUAAAGGUAAGAAAAUCUCAAUAAGUAUAUACGUUUUCAUAAAUUUUUAAUCAUAGAACUUUUGAAAUCAUAGAACUUGCAUAAAGGAGACAUGAAAACUAUACCGAACUUGGAUGAUAUGAGUUUUAUGUGCGUAGCACUACCAGAACUCUGGUACGAAACGUAAAACAUACAAAUGGACCUAUAAACAUAUUUUCAAAAGUGCGGCCCAACAAUAUAUAUAUAUACUUACUAUUGUGUGGGGGGAAAUAAAGGAAAUCGAAGAAAUUGACUUGUUUGAUUUCCACUCCAAUGUUUCUUUUACAGUCUGAGUACUAAAAAUUUUUGUAGUGUAAAAUAUGUUUAUGUGUGAAAGACGAGUUGAGAGAGAA